rnacentral:lncRNA from 1 species
AAGACUAUACUUUCAGGGAUCAUUUCUAUAGUGUGUUACUAGAGAAGUUUCUCUGAACGUGUAGAGCACCGAAAACCACGAGGAAGAGAGGUAGCGUUUUCUCCUGAACGUGAAGCCGGCUUUCUGGCGUUGCUUGGCUGCAACUGCCGUCAGCCAUUGAUGAUCGUUCUUCUCUCCGUAUUGGGGAGUGAGAGGGAGAGAACGCGGUCUGAGUGGUUUUUCCUUCUUGAUGGCUCAAUGACAGAGACUAGCUCGUAAACUCCGGGGCGUUUCUGGGCUGUUCGCUCCUGCUUGGCAUGUCGCGAGAAAGGUUUUCGCCUCCUGUUUCAGCGGUGACGGCUCUUGGGUUUUCUCGGGGUGGCUUUUUAAUUUUAGUCUUGGCGCGAGGCGGGGGAUGCUGUGUGGCACCUCCUAUUGUCUCUUUUUGCGUUUUCUCCCAUUCUCGCUCCCUCUUUUGUCGCCGUUUCCCGCCCGCCACUCCCACCCCCAGACGGGGUCUCCGGGUCUCUUGUUCUGUCUGCCGGCCCCGGCUGGAUUGCAGUGGCGCGAUCUCGGCUCCUAGCAACAUCUGCCUCCCGGGC